AUGGCAUUGGGAGCGGGCGGGACCAACUUCGGCCACUGUGUGGAUCUGUUUGCGUCGGGCGAUGACAUCGUUAGCGACAGCAGUGACUGUAUAACCCCUGUGCUUCACCUCACGCAGCGGGACGUCCCAGGCUGCAGCCCACGUGACAGGUCUGGCUGCAGUGAUUCUGUCCUCCAGUCCGAACACGUCCUCGUUGAGGGUCCUGCAGAAGACACCCAACCUUCUGGCUGCAAUGCCCCUUCUCCAGCAUCUGGCGACACAGAUUUCCAAAGCCCCACUAUGAGGCUCAAUUACUGGGCACACACAAACCAUUUGUUGCAGGAUUGUAUGCAUGCAUUUUGGAUAAUGUGUGUGUGUGUUUGUGUCCCUCACUCUCACAGGCCUAGAGCUGUGCUGUUCUGUGUGGUCUGAGAAGUCAGGGGCGUUGUCUAGCGACAGAGCGGCGAUCCGCUAUUGCCACGGUGAGGAGAUGAUGGGCUGCCCAUUAACUUGAGUUCCGAAUUUGUAUUUGUUUUCCCAAACUCCGUCACAGACUGAGGACAAACAAGAUAGACUGCGAUCUACGAAUUAUUCUGUCCUUCCACCACAACAUGGGCCGUGGCAUGGAGUGUGUGGACCACAGCGGGCCGGGCGGUAGGGGAUCCACGCGGUUGCCCGGUGCUGGGUGACUGACGGCCUGCAGUGCUGGGCCCACGGCAGCCCUGAGCCUGCGCAGGACACCCAAGUGUGUGGCUCCACAGCACCCUUUGACAGGUGCGGGCCCCGCUCAUGCCAGAGCUCAAAGAUUCUCGGCUUGAACCCGAGUUCUGAAGUCAUCUGGACCCUUAGGCCUCCUCGUUAAAUUACACCGAAACAAUCAAUUUCACCUCCAUUUUUAGUUUUAGUUUUGUAUUCUUUUGCCUGUUUCAGAUUUUGCGGCUACUACUUCAGGCUCAAUGUGACGCCUAGAGGUCAGAACAAGUGCCGUCCGAAGAGAUGAUAUUUGAACUUUGAGUUUGUUAAAAUUGGGAUAUCUCUGACGCUUGUUCCAUAGGAAAUGGAAAUGACUUUGGAAUAACUAUUAUACAAAGGACUAUAGUAUAGUUCUUCUACACCCACAGUUCUAGACUAGGGCUGCUCGAUUAUGGGAAAAAACAUAAUCACGAUUAUUUUGGUCAAUAUUGAAAUCACGAUUAUUCAAACGAUUAUUUUUUAGUUUGAAAACACGUUGUAAUUUCAGCAUGUCUCUCCCGAAUUUUUUGUAAUUGAGAACUUUGAAAUUUCGCCUUAAAAAAAUCACAAAAUGGUCAAAAAGAAAAUGCUCCAAUCUAAAAUGAAAUACAGAUGUGUCCAGCUGUUUUGCCCUUUCUAUAAAACAUUUUAAAAAAAAGUUAAUUUUGUGAUCGUUUGACCCUAAAAUCGAAAUCGUGAUUAAAAUUCGAUUAAUCCUCCAGCCCUAGGGACUUUCCGAAAAAUUAUACAGAUCUUCUCCCUCACAUUUCAUUUCACCCACUACCCCAUAUGUAUGCUGCAGCUCGCGGUCCCUUGCUGAAGUCGUCUUGCCUGACUCGCGUCCGCACCACGGCAACCGGAAACGUUGACUGCCAACCCAUAGACAUAUUAUAGAAUGGACAGCGGAUUCGAAAAUGGCGCCCAUUCAUUCCUAUGAAAACUUAAGGUUAAGAAAUUAACCAAGGUUUUCUGAUAUAUGAGUGAGGUAUCUCACUAUGGGACACGCCCCUCGCACUGUCCCCCAGAAGCAAUUUUACACUACUCCAGUCGUGACUGGCCAACAGACGUGACGUCCUGUCUCCCCACACUGUCUUUUAUGUUUUUUGGACGGAAUGUAACUGGAAAUUUCGUUGCUCUGUAACAUGUGCAAUGACAACAAUAAAUUCUAUUCUAUUCUAUUCUCUAUUCUAUUCUCUCCUACUACAUAAGUCCCGUCAUCAUGUCAUCUCUUCAGUCUAUAGGCAAAACACCUCUUCCUCGCUCCGGGCAAGAGGGUGGUCUGGUGAGAUACCUCACUCAUAUAUCAGAAAACCUUGGUUAAUUUCUUAACCUUAAAGGUCCCAUGACAUGAAAAUCUCCCUUUAUGAGGUUUUCUAACAUAAAUAUGAGUUCCCCUAGCCUGCCUAUGGUCCCCCAAUGGCUAAAACUUGCGUUUGGUGUAAAACGAGCACUAGCUGUUCUGCUUGCCUUUGAAAAAACGGAGGCUCAAGUGCGCUGAUUUGGAAUGUCUGUAUUCAUGACGUCACCAAGAAUCUCAGCUCCUCCCCUUACUCUGCCUGGCCCGCCCAGAGCCGUUGGCCCGCCAAAGAGACUCGACUGUGCGAGCGCCACAUGUGUGUGUGUGUGUGUGUGUGUGUGUGUGUGUGUGUGUGUGUAUGUGUGUGAAUACACACACUGUAACGCAAGUGUUUCUUGUCGGUUCUUUGACGUGUCUUGUAUUUCCACAACGAGACUGUUAUGGGGGUUAUCUGAGCCAUGGUUGAGAAGGAAUUGGGGGAAAGGAACUUUGGCUUUGACUCGCUGAAGUACAUGAACUGCGACAUGCCGCCGGUUGCCGCGAGGCACCAUCGCCCGGCAGCGGGCAGCCGGCAGCAGGCAGCGCCCGGUUCAGUCGACUUCAGGUUGAUGUGAAAGUGGAAGAACCAGAGACGUUGCACAACCCGACAAAGUUGUUUGUGAUUCAUAAUAUCGUCUGGAGGCGCACGCAGCUUUUGGCCGUGAUAAUAUGUAUUAAAUGAUAUAGAUUUCUAUGUAUUAUAUUGUGGUGACCCACAAUUGAUGUGUGAGACAUUCACAAAGGGACUGUACCUUUAAGGUAAACAGUUCCGGUUUACGGCAGUUCCGGUUCACUACCGUAGUGUUUCACGACAGUUCAGAUUCUCUGGAGUUUCGAUUUGAACUCAUGUGUGAGUAACACUCGUUUGUUUGAAGUGGAAAGUAAAGCUGACUCGACCCAUCUCCGUCUCUUGUCUCAUCAUUUACAUAACUCCACAAUUGGUGACCCCCGACGCGAGUUGGAUACGGCUGUAAAAUGUUUCACAUCGACGGUGAUAACAACGCGCCCGCCGCCGCUGGCGGUGCGGCUAUCGACGCGGCUAACGUCGGCGCUAUCUAUGCUGCCACCGUCAAGUUACCGGACUUCUGGCAGAACAACCCACGGUCG
rnacentral:lncRNA from 1 species